GAUGAACGCUGGUGGUAUGCUUAACACAUGCGAGUCGAACGGACUCUUCGGAGUUAGUGGCGGACGGGUGAGUAACGCGUGAGAAUCUGGCUUUGGGUUCGGGACAACCACUGGAAACGGUGGCUAAUACCGGAUGUGCCGAGAGGUAAAAGAGAAAUUGCCUGAAGAUGAGCUCGCGUCUGAUUAGCUAGUUGGUGAGGUAAAGGCUCACCAAGGCAGCGAUCAGUAGCUGGUCUGAGAGGAUGACCAGCCACACUGGGACUGAGACACGGCCCAGACUCCUACGGGAGGCAGCAGUGGGGAAUUUUCCGCAAUGGGCGAAAGCCUGACGGAGCAAUACCGCGUGAGGGAAGAAGGCUCUUGGGUUGUAAACCUCUUUUCUUAGGGAAGAACAAAAUGACGGUACCUAAGGAAUCAGCAUCGGCUAACUCCGUG
rnacentral:rRNA from 1 species